GUCCGAGUGUGUAAUGCCUGCGAUUGUCCCAAGUAAAAAGAGCCACUGUGUUACAAGGAAGGAUAAGAAACUUUUGGCAUUGCCUUCCACCCCCUUCGACAGCCUCCCAACCUGUGAUUACAAUCGGAGGAGAAAAACUACACCUUACUAUAUGUGAAUCGAGUGACUGCUGCGAAUGUGCGACCACACGUGACCACCAUCGCCCGCACCGGUUCCGUGUGUUACUCAGUGUAAUCGAAUGAUGAUGGGUCGUGAACUGGGAAUCAGAUCCUGAAAGGGGGUCUCCGGGAGGGUGUGCAAUUGUGCACGAGUGCAUGUGAACAAAGCGUGCCAACAGUGGUGGCAGUGAGGGAGGGGCCCAUCUAGGAAAAGGACAUUCGAACAGCAGUGGUGGAGCUACUGCUGCUUUUACUUAAUGCGAGUUGAAUUGAAUUCAAAAGUAGCCAAGUGGGUCUGAUGACUACUGAGAAAGGAAGUGGCUAACCAGGAUUGGUGACGGUAUUGGUGUGACCCCACGGUGGGUAAUUUGUGCUCGGGUGGAAGAAGUAUAGAUUUUUUCCCACGAAGUGCAGUUAACUGUGUGUGAGUGUGUGUGUGUGUGGGGGGUGUGAGUGGGAUUGGAAAAACUUUUCCUGUGCCCCCUGAAAACGGAUUUAGCGGAGAAAUCAAGCAGAGCGGUCGGAAAAGUGUUCCACAGAACGCCAUGGAUUAUCACAGAAUCAAUAAAAGAGAAUGCAGUGCCAGUGAAGUGAAAAUCGAAUUUCUACACUAAUAAUACCUUCAAAAGAGUGAGACCGUACAGUAGGAGAAAACAACGAAACAACAGUGUCACAGUGAGAAUAAAUUAACAACAAAGUCGAAAUUAGUCGAACCGGAAAUUAGUGUGAGCAGCUACCAAGUGGUCAAUACCAAAUUUCCAGGAGAAAGUGAAAACUUCCAGUGACCUCCCCCCGUGGCAGCCGAUUGCCUGGCAUUGAAGAUUCAAAUCAGUGCCAGUCUCCGUCCCCGCAGCUAUCGCAUCGUAUCGGGUGAAGGUCGGCGGUAAAAAUAAUACCACCCCAACCACCCACCGGUGAUGUGAGGAAACACAGCAAACGGAUCACCAACUGAAACCGGCAAUUAUGCUCCCGAACUGAAUGUGGAAAAAGUUUACACGAGUUAAACAACUGGCUGGCAGAAAGCAGCAGCCACAGAGUCAUCAACAACAUCAACAACGCUAGUUACAGUGCGCAGCGCUCUACUAAACAAGCGAAACCGUCAAUCUCGGCUAGUAGUCGGCUAGUUGUGCAUGCUUGUCGGUAGCAAUCUGGAGCUAGCCUGGAGAGUGCGAUGUGAUGUAGGUAGUGAUUGCUCGCGGAAAUGCAUUUUUACGUCGCCUCCGGUGGAAUGUGAUUUCCAUGUCUGAUGAGUUUCACGCUUUCGCGCGGUUAGUUUCGUGGUACAAUCGGGGAAAAUUGCAUAUCUGUUGCAAACAUCGCGGUUACAAUAUUGUGUCGUGAAGCGACAAGGGAAUAGAAUUUGUUUGUGGAAGUAGAAUUCGGAGGAAGUGUGAUCACUAUGCUUGAAAGGAAAUAAAACGUGUUAGACUACAUUAUUGGCAGUUGUGAAAACAAAAUUUGACUGGAAAUUUGAUUUCUUCAUUGCAAUUGAAUCUCUUCCAUUGUCAAAAGGGAGUGCAAAUAUAAUACUCAUUGAAGGGAAAAAGCUGUGCCACAAGCAACGAAUUGUUCAAGCGGGUGGAAAAAAAAAAAUCGUAGGUGGAGUGAAGUUUUUGCUAGCUUAUAAGAACCGUUCUGAAAGCGGAAAACUUUCUCUCCUUGAGAUUUGGGAGGCUGCCCACAAGUCAUCGAUCGAUCGUGGGGCCGGACUGAACUGUGUGGAUGCAGAAGUGAAAACGUCAAACUCGUCCUCGAAUACAAAGAAGAUCAUGCUUCCGAUUCGUGGCAGUUCGAGGCAGUACCGAACUAGAACGAGAGCCAGCAGCACAACAACCGACUCCAACGUCCACCGGAUCGUCCAUCGCUUCCAGAAUGCUAAUCAGGUCGCCAUCACGGAAAGAUGUCAGUUCUGUUUCCCCUUCAUCGCCGUCGUCGUCAGCCAAUGCCCUCGCCCUCGUUCCCAGAAGACGUAAACCGGUGGCCGCUGGUGAGCGGACGGUGUGACCCUGUAGGCGAAGUAGUGCUAGUAGUAGUAGCGGUAGAUGGCUCGCGGUGGAUGCUGCGGCGUGAGUUCCGGUGAUGUCCACCCGCGCCGCCAGAUACAGGAGGACAAAUCGAAUUAAUCACACCACGGCCAGCUGGUGAGGGAGUUUCCUUUUCCAACGAGAAAAACGAAUAAACAACAGCAGCAGCAGCAAAUCAACCUGACCUCCCAGGAUGAUUAAUCACCCGGUGGAGAGAUUUGGUUGAUGAAAAAUAACUUUCACUCCCUGGGCACUUUUCUAGGCCAAGGGAUCUCCGGGGGAUCCUUGCGGACGGAAUUCCUCCGUGCACCAACGAACAUUGUGAUUAACUGUGUGUGACGAAAAAAAAAACGUCGUGAACGGAGAAAUCAUAAAAACCUAAUCAAGAAAGGCUCUCCCAAGGGGCCUGUAAGGCUCGGUAAGGCCAUAUAAAAAUAAAAGGACGACUGCCAUCAUUCGGAAGCGAGAGGAAACUUGUGAACACGUGUCGAAAUCUCGAGCAGCUCUCGAGGCACAGAAUAGCCAUCCUCAUUCCUGUAAGACUGUCGGUACAUGUAACGAAAUCACGAAAGCACUCUCGACAGCAACGAUCGUAAAAAAAAACCACUAGACAACCAACAACCAUCGCACCAAGCAAGAAAGCACAACUACUCGCACAGAAGACGUCAGUCGAGUUUGAAAUCUUCUGCUUCUGCACGAAAAAAUGAAUCUUAUGAACAUGGACUCCGAGAACCGGGUGGUUCUCAACGUAGGCGGCAUCCGGCACGAAACGUACAAAGCGACGUUGAAGAAAAUUCCCGCCACUCGGCUGUCUCGCCUGACGGAGGCCCUCGGAAACUACGAUCCCGUGCUGAACGAGUACUUCUUCGAUCGGCAUCCGGGGGUGUUUGCGCAGGUGCUCAACUACUAUCGGACGGGAAAGCUGCACUACCCGACCGACGUUUGCGGACCACUGUUUGAGGAGGAGCUAGCCUUCUGGGGCUUAGAUUCCAACCAAGUAGAACCGUGCUGCUGGAUGACGUACACCCAGCAUCGGAAUACGCAAGAAACAUUGGCUGUUUUAGAUAGGCUAGAUUUAGAUACGGAAAAACCUACCGACGAGGAGGUAGCGAAAAAGUUCGGUUUCGAAGACGCUUACAAUAAAGGAAAGGUGAACUGGUGGCAGCAUCUGAAGCCGCAGAUGUGGUCGCUGUUCGACGAACCGUACAGCUCCAACGCCGCCAAGAUAAUCGGCAUCAUAUCAGUAUUCUUCAUCUGCGUAUCGAUCAUAUCAUUCUGCCUGAAGACCCACCCGGACAUGCGAGUACCGUUCAUCCGGAACAUCACGGUGAAGACGGCGAGCCAAAACACGUCCUGGGUGCUGGACAAAACACAAACGAACGCCCACGUGGCGUUCUUCUACAUCGAAUGCGUCUGCAACGCUUGGUUUACCUUUGAAAUCAUGGUGCGGUUUAUCUCAUCCCCGAGUAAGCUUAGGUUCAUCACAUCGUCUGUAAAUAUCAUCGACUACAUCGCUACGUUAAGUUUCUUCAUCGAUCUGAUACUGCAGCGGUUCGCGUCACACCUGGAGAACGCCGACAUCCUGGAGUUCUUCUCCAUCAUCCGUAUCAUGAGAUUGUUCAAGUUGACGCGACACUCGUCCGGGCUGAAGAUUCUCAUCCAAACUUUUCGGGCCUCGGCCAAAGAGCUGACGCUGCUAGUGUUUUUCUUAGUUCUAGGUAUCGUGAUAUUCGCCAGCCUGGUGUACUACGCCGAGCGGAUACAGAUCAACCCGCACAACGACUUCAACAGCAUACCGCUGGGGCUGUGGUGGGCCCUGGUCACAAUGACCACCGUCGGCUACGGGGACAUGACGCCGAAAACCUACAUCGGGAUGUUUGUGGGUGCGCUGUGUGCUCUGGCCGGUGUGCUGACGAUCGCCCUGCCCGUUCCCGUCAUCGUGAGCAACUUUACGAUGUACUACUCGCACACGCAGGCCCGUGCCAAGCUGCCAAAGCGAAGGCGUCGCGUUUGCCCGGUGGAGCUGUCCAGGCCUCCGCGGUUGCCAGGUCAAGGCGGCCCGGGAGGAGUGAACGUAAACACCGGAUCCGGAAAGCUUCCCUCUUCCAACGCACCCAGCACCGGAAGCAUGGAUCAAACAAUCCGGCGCAUGAAUGCCAACCGCACCAUCUCCAAAGAUGUCAUCCUGCCUAAGAUGGCACGAUGGGACGACCACCUGUAGGUAUUUCGUUGUGUACGUGAUCGAAUGCUUGGUACCACCGCUGCGGCUGCUGUUGUUCAUCUACUUUCGAGUCCUAUUGUUUAUCACACAUACGGCUGUGCUCUGCUCAGCCUCCAUCCGGGGCGGAAAAAAGCGUGUAAAAUACUCACUCGAAGAAAAACCAACCUUCGACAACCGGCACUCUCUUCUAAUAAUAAUGGAUCCCAAAGGAUUUUCUCACAACGGAAAACAGGCACAGAAAUCGAUUGCGAGCCGCCGUUUGCAUACGAAUGGAGCCGAAUGAAGAGGAAUCCUUUUCGGGGAAAAUUGAUUUGAAUUCUUCCAAGUCACGUUUCUCCCUGACGACCGCCCCAUCAAAUUUGGAAGGUAUCAUCUUUGGUUCGGUUUCGUCGUUUGUCAAAUUGGAAAAAAUAUACUCUCGAAAAAUCCCACGCGAAGAAAGAACUGUUCAAUACCAGAAAGCACUUAUUUCCAAUCCGAAGAGAUACUAUUUUAUCAUCGCUAUGCCAACCGGGCGGCAAACCUGCUUCUACAACCGACAACCGUAUCUACUGCUACACACGUAUGCGAUAUGCUCCCAUUCCUACACGGUUGUAGCGAGAACCGCAGGCACACAAUGCCAUUAUAACUUAAUUCCGCCGGGAAUCCAUCCCACCCAUUUCCUUGCCGAGGGAAAAAGGUGCCGACGGAUCGCUUCGUCGAUUCUGCGAAAAAGGAAGAUGUUAGCAACCGAAUUUAGCACAGCCAACCGAACACACCGAGCCCAUCAUCAUCUUGCAGGCAGCCAAUAAUCCACCACCAUCCAGCAGAAACCAAAAAUCCAAUCGGUAACGUUUGAGAGGAUCUGAUUAUGGUGGCUCCACCGGAGAAAAAUGGAUCCGCAGCAUUUUCCGGUUCCGUGGCAGCCACAACGCAACCGCUAACUGCCACCAUCAACAGCAUCAGCACCACCACCACCACCGUCACCAUCGUAUCGGCCAUCCGCCGAGCGUCGCUGGGUAAAAACAAGGAACGCAAACUGAAAAAUAGUUAAUUCCGCAUCCUAUCCAACAACUCUAUCUCUUAACACACACACACACACACAUAAACAUACAUAAAAAAUAUACAAGCAACUGCAAUGUGGGCUGGCUCGAACGAUGAACGUGAUUCAAUUAAAGGCAUUUCUGUUUAACGGACAAACCGUGCCGCAACCGAAACUAAAAAAAAAAAAAAAAAAACAUUUAGAUUCCGAAACGGUUUAUGCGUGUUUAGGUUUUCUAAAAAGCUACACUAGCGCCAUCACCGCUCUGCCUUCACCUUUCUUUACGAUAGUUGAACAAUGUUUUAAACACGCAAACAAGUGAUAGGACGCUAUGCAAUGAAAACUUUGUUUUAUAAAGUUGAUUGUUUUCUGUGUGCUCAGCAGCCGAAAUCUUCGUUUCAAUUAGCACUCGGAACAGGAGCUCCUCUCCCCCCCCCCCCCGUUAAAUGUUAUCAGUGUUGAAAAUUCUAAAGAGAUUUUUUUAUUCGAUAAUCGCUUUUUUCUUCGAGAUUUUUAUACAAAGAGAAGAUUCUUUUUAAAACAUGAAACGCUUACUAUCAAUUGAAAGAUGUACAGCUAUGAAAUCGAACGCUAAUACACAUAAAGUUAUAGAUAUUGUACGACUGUAAAUAUACUAAGGAAUACUUACAAACUAGUAACAAGUAAUAAGCAAACCAAACAACAACAAAGAAAAAAAAAACGAAAACAAACAAUUGUAUAUUUUAGAAAAGAGGCAAAACGAAAAGUGAUAUCAAGUUAUUUUAAUCGACAAAUUGAAGCUCUUAUACUGAUUGCAUCGUUCGAACCGAAUUGGUAUGAAAGCGCAGAUGAUAUUGAUGUUUUUUUUUAUUCGAUUUCGUUUGGAUUUCUGUUGAAACUUUACUCUAGAAUCUCAGUGCAACUAAUUACCACGCAGUAAGACAUUAUUCCCAAAGGGCUUGUAAAUAAAGAGAAAUUCUGGCUAACAGCUAUUUCCUCGUAAGCAAAAACAAACGAAAAAAAAAACUUGGUUUCAAUUCUUCCCUGCCCUGUGGCCCCAAAGAUUGCGCUAGAUGAAUCUUAUCGAAAAUGUUCCUGUGAGAAGAAAUGGUUGCCUUCUACGCCAAACACGCUUUAUGAAUGUAUAUUUAAGCACCGGGUAAUUCCACAACUUCUGUCCGAAAACGAACACAAAUUUAUGUUUGAUAAAAUUGAACAAAUCCAAAAUGGGACCAACAUAGUGAUCAUACCCUUUUUGCGAGUGUCUUUUUUAUUUUAAUUCACUUUGACCUACUUUGACAGGACUCAUCUGAAUGCUUGAUUGAGGUGUGUUAAUUUAUUUCAUCUCCAAAAUCCUCAUUUAAGUUAAACAUCACAAAUUACAUUCACCGUAAGUUUACCAACUUUUAUCACAUUUUCCGAACCAACGCAGAGUUUGAACCGAUGGAAACGGUCGACCGCCAGCAGAGACACGUACGAAUGGUUCAUGUUUGCUCGUAUACAUGUUGUUGUGUGUGUGGAAGCAAAUUUGGUCAGUUCAGCUGAUGCCACAACUGACAACAACAACAACAACAACAACAACAACGAUGCAACCACCCAGCAUUGAUGGUGUCAUAAACAAGUUGUGCAAAUUCCAAAGUGCAGUCAACAUAUGGUUUGGUGUGAUUUGGCUGCAUAAAAGGAGGAAAAUGGUUUUUACAGAGUGGCAAACAUAGUUUUAAAGUUGGAAACAGAUGGGUGCCUGCGAUGACGAGGGGUUGCUGGGUUGUUGGAAAAAAUUGUAAGCUGCAAUUAAUUUUCAAUAGAUAAUUUAUUCAUUAUUCCUUCGUGGCUCUGACUGCAGCUUGAUAUUUAUUUAUAAUUCUAUUACUACACACAUUUUUGAUAAUUUUGAUGUCAAACAGUUUGGUUAUACUGAACACUCAACACUAGACAUGGAACAACACUCAACAGUUUUACGAAAAGUUCCACCGGCUGGAGCGGGAAUCGAGCCCUAAUUUCGGGGAAAACAGGACUUUCGCCAACUUGAUUUUGCAACAAUUCGUAAGUUCAAUCAGUUAAGUUACGAUUUUGAAUGAUCCAAAAUGAGUGACUGAUAGGUUUUCCCAUGAAUUAAAAAAGGUUAAUCUACUAUCUUGAGGCCAUUUAAAUGCAGACAAUUUGCAAAACCGUCGUUAGAGCAAACAAAAUCGUAUUCAUUCACUCACUAAUACGCGAUCCAUACCGCAUGCUAUUAGUCAC